CCUACGGGAGGCAGCAGUAGGGAAUAUUGCUCAAUGGGGGAAACCCUGAAGCAGCAAUGCCGCGUGGAGGAUGAUGGUUUUCGGAUUGUAAACUCCUUUUGUUAGAGAAGAUAAUUACGGUAUCUAACGAAUAAGCACCUGCUAACUCCGUGCCAGCAGCCGCGGUAAUAGGGGGGGUGCAAGCGUUACUCGGAAGCACUGGGCGUAAAGGGCGCGUAGGUGGGAGAGAAAGUCAGAUGUGAAAGCCUAUGUCUUAACCAUAGAAGUGCAUUUGAAACUGUUAUUCUUGAGUAUGGUGGGGGUAGGUGGAAUACUUGGUGUAGGGGUAAAAUGCGUAGAGAUCAAGAAGAAUACUCAUUGCGAAGGCGACCUGCUAGAACAUAACUGACGCUGAUGCGCGAAAGCGUGGGGAGCAAACAGGAUUAGAUACCCUUGUAGUC
rnacentral:rRNA from 1 species